rnacentral:rRNA from 1 species
UGAGGAAUAUUGCACAAUGGGCGAAAGCCUGAUGCAGCAACGCCGCGUGAGGGACGAAGGCCUUCGGGUCGUAAACCUCUUUUCAGGGGAAAGAGACAGGACGGUACCUCAGGAAUAAGUCUCGGCUAACUACGUGCCAGCAGCCGCGGUAAAACGUAGGAGGCGAGCGUUAUCCGGAUUUACUGGGCGUAAAGCGCACGCAGGCGGUUCCGUUAGUCGGACGUGAAAGCUCCUGGCUUAACUGGGAGAGGCCGUUCGAUACUGCGGGACUUGAGGUUGGAAGAGGGGUGUGGAACUCCCGGUGUAGUGGUGGAAUGCGUAGAUAUCGGGAGGAACACCUGUGGCGAAAGCGGCACCCUGGUCCACACCUGACGUUGAGGUGCGAAAGCGUGGGUAGCAAACAG